GGGGGGGGGGGGGGGGGGGGGGGGGGGGUGGGGGGGGGAGGGGGAGGCGGUGCUGGGGGGGGGUGCUGGGGUGGCGAACGGGGGGGUAACACGUGAGUAACCUGCCCUGGACUUUGGGAUAACUUCAGGAAACUGGGGCUAAUACCGGAUAGGAGCUCCUGCUGCAUGGUGGGGGGUGGCAAGUUUCGGCGGUUGGGGAUGGACUCGCGGCUUAUCAGCUUGUUGGUGGGGUAGUGGCUUACCAAGGCUUUGACGGGUAGCCGGCCUGAGAGGGUGACCGGCCACAUUGGGACUGAGAUACGGCCCAGACUCCUACGGGAGGCAGCAGUGGGGAAUAUUGCACAAUGGGCGGAAGCCUGAUGCAGCAACGCCGCGUGCGGGAUGACGGCCUUCGGGUUGUAAACCGCUUUCGCCUGUGACGAAGCGUGAGUGACGGUAAUGGGUAAAGAAGCACCGGCUAACUACGUG
rnacentral:rRNA from 1 species